GUCUUCUGGUACAUGGGAGGGUGACAUUUCUAUGACCUUUGCAGUUGGAGUCUUGUGACAAGUUCUGACAAAGGGCUUUGAGUUAGAGUGAUGUAUGUCCCUUCCAGAACACUUUAUGCUGGGGCAAGAUCCCCUAGAACUCUCUCUCCCUUCUGAGGCAACAGAGGAAAUUUCAUCUUCACCUCCCUGAUCAAAAAGACAGUCCCUUUGACAUCCUGGGUCUGAGAGACUGUGUGGACUAGAGCCCCCCACUGGGGAAGGCAGCCAAGUAACAACAUCCAAUCCAUGCAGGCACCUCCCAGGAUACCGAUACUUCAUCCUUCUAUCCUCUGGAGGCUAAAAGAAGAGAAGAAAUAUAAGGAGACUCAAAUACCUGAAACAAUGCUUUCAAUUUAGUUUAAUAUCUACGUGUGCCUUAGUUCAGAUUCCCCCAGAAGCAGACACUGAGAUGGGAUUUAAGUACAAAUAGUUCAUCUGGGCUGUGUGGAGAACGACACAGGGAAAGGAAGGCAGCAAAUAGUGUGUCCUAUUAAGCCAGAUGCCCCUGUGGGUGAUCAGCGUUUGGUCCUGAAAGCAAAGUCUGGGAAAUGAUGUGGAAUACAAAGCAUGGAAUUAAUCCAGCUGACGGGCAAGCAGGCUGGGGAAUUUAUACAGCAGCUCUUGAGCGUCAUUGGCUUGUGGGUGCUCCCAUGGGAUGUCAGUUUCCUGACACUCCUGGCCAGCAGCACCUACAGUCUCCGAGACACCAAAACUCCAAUUCGGAAGGCAUCCAGACAAAGGAAAUGGAAAGUUUUCUUUGAAGAAAGUGCUCUGUAUCUCAAAAAAUUUGAAAACCACUGAAGAAACCUAAAGUGCUUUGUUUCAUAGAAGUGGAAUCCACAGCUCAGAAAUGGUAGGUGACAUCUCAGAGUCACAGAGCUAAGAGGAAAGGAAGGCCCAAGUGGAACCCAGCUCUCUGGAGUCUUAUAACUGUCGCAUACCUUUUGUACACUUCCUCAUUGAUAGGAGCCAGCUCACUCAGAGUCAUUACAGGAGGCGGCCUCAAACAGCCAUAUUCACAUUCAGAAGAUAGGCAGUUGGUUUUAUGGCUUUUUACCUUUGCUUAAAGAGUACACAGCUUGUCAAAAAUGAGCCAUAGAUAUAUAAAACUUGGGUGUCCUCAGCUGUUGGCCAGUUGUUUAGUUUCAAGUUUUGUUGAGUCAAAUUCCUGUAAAAUUAGAUCCAGCCCCACCCUUGUCCACCCCGAGGCUCCCCUAACUGCUAACCCUGUUCGAGAAGGAAUCUAGGUUUGCAGCCGGCUACAUUCUCUUCCUGCCCCCACCUUCCACGGUGUUAAGUGAGAAACACAAAACAUAUGGAUGCUCAUGAAUAAUUCAAGCCCCCAAGAGAAGGCUAUUCGAUACUGACCCAACACAAACCUUUCCCAUCAAUCUGCAUUUUUUAAACUAACCCUGGGAAAGUCCACCUUCUUCAGAUGUGCGAAUACAAGGCAGUUGUGAUUUGCAAGCCUAAAAGGUCCUCAAGUAAGAAAAUCAAUUGAAACCCAAAGUGGCAUCUCAGUUUUAUUAAGUCAGCAUUGUCUGGCCUGCAUUAUUUAAUAGGGUGAUUCUCUUCUGACCUCUGAAGAGUUAAAUCUCAUGAACAGUGGGGCAGAAUGCUAUCUAUUAUAAUUUCGACUUUCAUGAUUGGAAAGACAGAAUUCAUUAUUCUGCUGAAAGUAGGCUCCGAAAUGGUUUUUAUUUCAGCUCAUCCAUCAGAAGGGAGUGUGCCUCAGAAGAUUUUAUUGACCUCAUUUCAGUCUUGUGACCCAUUUGUUUAAACAUUUAAAAUUGAUACUUAAAAGGAACAACACUCAAGGGCAUUCUGACCAGCCCUAGUUUCCAGGUAGAAAGUGGCAUCUUUAGAUGUGCCAAGGGGAGCCCUCCCCAAAGACAAUAGGCUAGAAGCCUCAGUGAAAAUAGGAACAGUCUCAAAGACUUCCUCUCAAGAGUGAUAUAUUAAGGAUCCAACAGGAAAUACAGGUGUGAGGAGUCGCUUGCUUGAGAGUUCUGAUUCGACAUUCACCGGCUCUUUGGGAUUAAAUUUCAGGCCACUGUAAUCACCAGAGAAAUUCAAAAUCAAAUACAGCUUUGGAGUUCAAUUUCUGUCUACCAAUUUGAUGGGUUACAUUUCUUCCCAAAAUUGUAUUAGUUGAUUGAUCGGAUUAUCCAAAUAUAUAGUUUAUUCUGACGUAAGAGAAACAGUGCCAUUUCUCUCACUUGUUAAGUGGAUGUAAUAGAAAAUGAAACUUCUGCACAGAUAUUGAUAAAACUUGAGUUGGGACAUCUAAGAACUAUUUCGACUAGAGUUUGAUAAACUAUGGCUCACAGGCCAAAUCCACCUCACCUCCUGUUUUUAUAAAUAAAGUUUUGUUGGAACACGACUGCCCCUUUCCUUUUCGAAUUUUCUGUCUCUGCUUUCACACUGCAGUGGCAGACUCCAGUGGUUUUGACAGAGGACCAUCAGGCCUGAAAAGGCAAAAAUAUUUACUAUUUAACUCUUUACACAAAAUGUUCACCAAUCCUUAAAUUGACUGUAGUACACAGAACCUAUGACCAUCUGUCAUAGGCUUCACAGAAGUCCUCUGAAAGAGAGGGAUAUUUAUCAGGUCAAAAAAUCAGGGACAGCUGGCCUGGACAUUUAAUCAAAGCUAGAUUGCCAAAGAAAACUAUUUGACAAUUAAUGGCAUUAUUAUAUCUGAAGAAGAGCGAGGUGACAAGAAGGAGUAAAGUUGAUUCCUGGUGCACUGGAGAAGGAAAGCACCAAACCCAGAAUUUGUUGGCACCACUUAUACAAUCUUGCUCCAGUUCAGGAGACUGAAACCAGGAGAUACGGAACAGGGAUAUUUCAUUGGGCCUUGCUAUGGCUUGGAUAAGGAGGAGGCAACGUUUUUCUAUAAAAGGCCAGCGAGUAAAUAUUUUAAGCUUCGAAGGCCAAGAGGCAAAAUCAAGUAACAGUUCUUGGAAGGCUAACCUGUUUAGUUUGCUGGCCAGACAAAAACGGGUGGCAGGCUGGUUUUGGCUCAGGGGCCAUGGCUUGCUGACAUCUGGAUUAGAGGAAGACUUCUGAAUAGUUUCACAUCUUUUUCUUCAGCUUCCAUGUUCAUUAACCAUCCUUCUAAUUACUAAAUGCUAAUCUGAUAUAUUCUACUGAGAGACCUAAAAGGGACUGGAAAUAUUGACUUUCAGCAAAGAAAAGAUAAGAACUAUCUCCCAAUAUCCCACUAGAAAGUAAACACACUUGGAGCUUCAAUGUGUAGCCUAGGGCCAGGAGUGUGGUGGAUACUUAAUAAAUAUUGCUGAAAGAGUGAUCAUGUUGCCACGGCAAUUCUAUCCUUGAGGGCCCAUCUGGACAAACAACUGUUUUCUCUAGAUAACACUUCUGCUUAUAUUUCUCUGACUCUAGCCAACAUUUGAAAAUCUAAUUUAGCAAAUAUGUGACAUGACAUCAAAUUUAUUCUCUUCUAUUAUCGCUGACAUAUGAGGUGACCUGGUGCAAUUGACCUGGUUGCUGUUGGUGUACAGGCAGGUUUUGUGCUUUCCUUAAUGUCAGUAGGUUGUUAAAGGACACAUCUUUUCCAUUAGCCCAUUGUCGAAGAAGCUAUUUAUGACCAGGUAGCAUUUCCCUCAAGUAGUACUCUCUUUGGGAUGGUGUCUUGCCUAAAUUUUAGAUAUUUUAUUUUAUUGAGAAAAUAUCUUUUCAC
rnacentral:lncRNA from 1 species